GGCAACUUGGCCGAGCGGUCUAAGGCGCCAGACUCAAGAUACGAUGGUUAUCUUCCCUGGAUCUGCAGGGAGCAUUCUGGUCUCGAAAGAGGCGUGAGUUCGAAUCUCACAGUUGUCA
rnacentral:tRNA from 1 species